UGCGGAGGAUCAAUACAGUGAAGGUUGCUUGGAGGUUGGUGGGGGUGUUGUUGCCUCUGCUGCUUCUACGUUUACGCUUGCAUGUUUGACAAAGACAGUACCAAUAAGCAACGAGAACUUUUAACAAUGGAUCUCUUGGCUCUUGCACCGAUGAAGAACGCAGUCAAGUGCGAAAAGUGAUGCGAAUUGCACGAAUCUGUGAGUCAUUUAGUAUUUGAACGCAACUUGCGCCGAGCGAUCGGCAUGUCUGGCUGAGUGUGCUGAUCUUGAUGUUGUGAGUGCGAGUGAGCGCUCAUGCGAUGCGGUCCAUAGCACAUGUGAUGUGUGCUUGGACUGGGAUGCAGCAAGCGAGUGUAUCAGUGGGGGUAGGCUGAUUGACAAGUGUCAAGUAUUCUUGCCAGCCAGGCUACUCCUCAUCCACACGCACCUCAGCUCAGGCAAGACUACCCGCUGAACUUAAGCAUAUCAAUAAGCGGAGGAAAGGGCGAAUUCGCGGCCGCUAAAUUCAAUUCGCCCUAUA
rnacentral:misc_RNA from 1 species